GUUUGAUCCUGGCUCAGAGCGAACGCUGGCGGCAUGCUUAACACAUGCAAGUCGCACGGUCAGGUUUCGGCCUGGUAGUGGCGGACGGGUGAGUAACGCGUAGGUAUCUAUCCGAAGGUGGGGGAUAACGGCGGGAAACUGCUGCUAAUACCGCAUAUGACCUGAGGGUCAAAGGUCGCAAGACCGCCUGUGGAGGAGCCUGCGUACGAUUAGCUUGUUGGUGGGGUAAAGGCCUACCAAGGCGACGAUCGUUAGCUGGUCUGAGAGGAUGAUCAGCCACAUUGGGACUGAGACACGGCCCAAACUCCUACGGGAGGCAGCAGUGGGGAAUAUUGGACAAUGGGGGCAACCCUGAUCCAGCAAUGCCGCGUGUGUGAAGAAGGUCUUCGGAUUGUAAAGCACUUUCGACGGGGACGAUGAUGACGGUACCCGUAUAAGAAGCCCCGGCUAACUUCGUGCCAGCAGCCGCGGUAAUACGAAGGGGGCUAGCGUUGCUCGGAAUGACUGGGCGUAAAGGGCGCGUAGGCGGCAUAUACAGUCAGACGUGAAAUUCCUGGGCUCAACCUGGGGGCUGCGUUUGAUACGUAUGGGCUAGAGUGGGGAAGAGGGUUGUGGAAUUCCCAGUGUAGAGGUGAAAUUCGUAGAUAUUGGGAAGAACACCGGUGGCGAAGGCGGCAACCUGGUCCUUGACUGACGCUGAGGCGCGAAAGCGUGGGGAGCAAACAGGAUUAGAUACCCUGGUAGUCCACGCCGUAUACGAUGUGUGCUGGAUGUUGGGCGACCUAUUCGCUCAGUGUCGUAGCUAACGCGAUAAGCACCCCGCCUGGGGAGUAC
rnacentral:rRNA from 1 species